GAUGAACGCUAGCUACAGGCUUAACACAUGCAAGUCGAGGGGCAGCAUGAAAGGAACUUCGGUUCUUUUUGAUGGCGACCGGCGAACGGGUGAGUAACGCGUGAGGAACCUGCCUCAAAGAGGGGGACAACAGUUGGAAACGACUGCUAAUACCGCAUAAGCCCACGACCCGGCAUCGGGUUGAGGGAAAAGGAGCAAUCCGCUUUGAGAUGGCCUCGCGUCCGAUUAGCUAGUUGGUGAGGUAACGGCCCACCAAGGCAACGAUCGGUAGCCGGACUGAGAGGUUGAACGGCCACAUUGGGACUGAGACACGGCCCAG
rnacentral:rRNA from 1 species